AUGUCUGCAUCAAAAGCAUGACCUUCCAUCUGAAAAUGGGUAGCUCCUUGAAUAAGAUGAGUUGUGUUAUGUCCAGCAGCAUCCCUCAACUUGUUCUCCAAUUGUUUAACGCUAGUGAAACCAUCAUUAGUACCCAUGACAAAUAGUUUUGGCUUAGGUGAUUGUAAGAUAGAUUUUUGAUGCCUUCCAAAAAGAAUAGAAGCAGUGAAACCAAAAGGAUAUCCUACGCUCACAUACCCAACCACUUGCUCUACUUUAUCAACUGCAGAUCCUGCUAUCGCUGCUCCUGCAGAUGAACCAAUAAGGAUAAUUGUGUUUGUUGUGAAAUUGGUGUGAACCCAUUUGCAAACAGAGAUAACAUCGUUAAUUUCAGCAGAUCCAGUGAGAGAAGCACGGCCACUGGAUUUCCCAGCACCUCUAGUGUCAAAAGUAACAGCAAUCACACCUCGACUUGACAAUCCCUUAGCAAUGCCUCUCAUCAAUCCUUGACAUCCACCAAGCACAGAAUAAGGAUGCACUAAUACUGCAACAUAACUCGAAUUGUUCUCCGAUGUUGGCCGGUAAACACGGCAGUCCAAUAUUACACCGUCGCUGCUCUCAAUACUACAACUGCUUCUGCUAUAGGUACUA
rnacentral:misc_RNA from 1 species